AUUGAACGCUGGCGGCAUGCUUUACACAUGCAAGUCGAACGGUAACAGGCCGCAAGGUGCUGACGAGUGGCGAACGGGUGAGUAAUGCAUCGGAACGUGCCCAGUCGUGGAGGAUAACGCAGCGAAAGCUGCGCUAAUACCGCAUACGAUCUAUGGAUGAAAGCGGGGGACCGUAAGGCCUCGCGCGAUUGGAGCGGCCGAUGUCAGAUUAGGUAGUUGGUGGGGUAAAGGCUCACCAAGCCAACGAUCUGUAGCUGGUCUGAGAGGACGACCAGCCACACUGGGACUGAGACACGGCCCAGACUCCUACGGGAGGCAGCAGUGGGGAAUUUUGGACAAUGGGCGCAAGCCUGAUCCAGCAAUGCCGCGUGCAGGAAGAAGGCCUUCGGGUUGUAAACUGCUUUUGUACGGAACGAAACGGUCCUGGUUAAUACCUGGGGCUAAUGACGGAACCGUAAGAAUAAGCACCGGCUAACUACGUGCCAGCCGCCGCCGUAAAAC
rnacentral:rRNA from 1 species